rnacentral:rRNA from 1 species
UUAUAUACAACCUCAACUCAUAUGGGACUACCCCCUGAAUUUAAGCAUAUUAAUUAGGGGAGGAAAAGAAACUAACAAGGAUUUUCUUAGUAGCGGCGAGCGAAAAGAAAACAGUUCAGCACUAAGUCACUUUGUCUAUAUGGCAAAUGUGAGAUGCAGUGUAUGGAGCGUCAAUAUUCUAGUAUGAGAAAUUAACGAUUUAAGUCCUUCUUAAAUGAGGCCCGUAUAACGUUAAUGAUUACUAGAUGAUGUUUCCAAAGAGUCGUGUUGCUUGAUAGUGCAGCACUAAGUGGGUGGUAAACUCCAUCUAAAACUAAAUAUAACCAUGAGACCGAUAGUAAACAAGUACCGUGAGGGAAAGUUGAAAAGAACUCUGAAUAGAGAGUUAAACAGUACGUGAAACUGCUUAGAGGUUAAGCCCGAUGAACCUGAAUAUCCGUUAUGGAAAAUUCAUCAUUAAAAUUGUAAUAUUUAAAUAAUAUUAUGAGAAUAGUGUGCAUUUUUUCCAUAUAAGGACAUUGUAAUCUAUUAGCAUAUACCAAAUUUAUCAUAAAAUAUAACUUAUAGUUUAUUCCAAUUAAAUUGCUUGCAUUUUAACACAGAAUAAAUGUUAUUAAUUUGAUAAAGUGCUGAUAGAUUUAUAUGAUUACAGUGCGUUAAUUUUUCGGAAUUAUAUAAUGGCAUAAUUAUCAUUGAUUUUUGUGUUUAUUAUAUGCACUUGUAUGAUUAACAAUGCGAAAGAUUCAGGAUACCUUCGGGACCCGUCUUGAAACACGGACCAAGGAGUCUAACAUAUGUGCAAGUUAUUGGGAUAUAAACCUAAUAGCGUAAUUAACUUGACUAAUAAUGGGAUUAGUUUUUUAGCUAUUUAUAGCUAAUUAACACAAUCCCGGGGCGUUCUAUAUAGUUAUGUAUAAUGUAUAUUUAUAUUAUUUAUGCCUCUAACUGGAACGUACCUUGAGCAUAUAUGCUGUGACCCGAAAGAUGGUGAACUAUACUUGAUCAGGUUGAAGUCAGGGGAAACCCUGAUGGAAGACCGAAACAGUUCUGACGUGCAAAUCGAUUGUCAGAAUUGAGUAUAGGGGCGAAAGACCAAUCGAACCAUCUAGUAGCUGGUUCCUUCCGAAGUUUCCCUCAGGAUAGCUGGUGCAUUUUAAUAUUAUAUAAAAUAAUCUUAUCUGGUAAAGCGAAUGAUUAGAGGCCUUAGGGUCGAAACGAUCUUAACCUAUUCUCAAACUUUAAAUGGGUAAGAACCUUAACUUUCUUGAUAUGAAGAUCAAGGUUAUGAUAUAAAUGUCCCAGUGGGCCACUUUUGGUAAGCAGAACUGGCGCUGUGGGAUGAACCAAACGUAAUGUUACGUGCCCAAAUUAACAACUCAUGCAGAUACCAUGAAAGGCGUUGGUUGCUUAAAACAGCAGGACGGUGAUCAUGGAAGUCGAAAUCCGCUAAGGAGUGUGUAACAACUCACCUGCCGAAGCAACUAGCCCUUAAAAUGGAUGGCGCUUAAGUUGUAUACCUAUACAUUACCGCUAAAGUAGAUGAUUUAUAUUACUUGUGAUAUAAAUUUUGAAACUUUAGUGAGUAGGAAGGUACAAUGGUAUGCGUAGAAGUGUUUGGCGUAAGCCUGCAUGGAGCUGCCAUUGGUACAGAUCUUGGUGGAUAGUAGCAAAUAAUCGAAUGAGAGCCUUGGAGGACUGAAGUGGAGAAGGGUUUCGUGUGAACAGUGGUUGAUCACGAGUUAGUCGGUCCUAAGUUCAAGGCGAAAGCGAAAAUUUUCAAGUAAAACAUAAUUUUGAACGAAAGGGAAUACGGUUCCAAUUCCGUAACCUGUUGAGUAUCCGUUUGUUAUUAAAUAUGGGCCUCGUGCUCAUCCUGGCAACAGGAACGACCAUAAAGAAGCCGUCGAGAGAUAUCGGAAGAGUUUUCUUUUCUGUUUUAUAGCCGUACUACCAUGGAAGUCUUUCGCAGAGAGAUAUGGUAGAUGGGCUAGAAGAGCAUGACAUAUACUGUUGUGUCGAUAUUUUCUCCUCGGACCUUGAAAAUUUAUGGUGGGGACACGCAAACUUCUCAACAGGCCGUACCAAUAUCCGCAGCUGGUCUCCAAGGUGAAGAGUCUCUAGUCGAUAGAAUAAUGUAGGUAAGGGAAGUCGGCAAAUUAGAUCCGUAACUUCGGGAUAAGGAUUGGCUCUGAAGAUUGAGAUAGUCGGCCUUGAUUGGGAAACAAUAACAUGGUUUAUGUGCUCGUUCUGGGUAAAUAGAGUUUCUAGCAUUUAUGUUAGUUACUUGUUCCCCGGAUAGUUUAGUUACGUAGCCAAUUGUGGAACUUUCUUGCUAAAAUUUUUAAGAAUACUAUUUGGGUUAAACCAAUUAGUUCUUAUUAAUUAUAACGAUUAUCAAUUAACAAUCAAUUCAGAACUGGCACGGACUUGGGGAAUCCGACUGUCUAAUUAAAACAAAGCAUUGUGAUGGCCCUAGCGGGUGUUGACACAAUGUGAUUUCUGCCCAGUGCUCUGAAUGUCAAAGUGAAGAAAUUCAAGUAAGCGCGGGUCAACGGCGGGAGUAACUAUGACUCUCUUAAGGUAGCCAAAUGCCUCGUCAUCUAAUUAGUGACGCGCAUGAAUGGAUUAACGAGAUUCCUACUGUCCCUAUCUACUAUCUAGCGAAACCACAGCCAAGGGAACGGGCUUGGAAUAAUUAGCGGGGAAAGAAGACCCUUUUGAGCUUGACUCUAAUCUGGCAGUGUAAGGAGACAUAAGAGGUGUAGAAUAAGUGGGAGAUAUUAGACCUCGGUUUGGUAUCGUCAAUGAAAUACCACUACUCUUAUUGUUUCCUUACUUACUUGAUUAAAUGGAACGUGUAUCAUUUCCUAGCCAUUAUACGGAUAUAUUUAUUAUAUCUUAUGGUAUUGGGUUUUGAUGCAAGCUUCUUGAUCAAAGUAUCACGAGUUUGUUAUAUAAUCGCAAACAAAUUCUUUAAUAAAACGAUGCAUUUAUGUAUUUUUGAUUUGAAAAUUUGGUAUAACUCCAAUUACUCAGGUAUGAUCCAAUUCAAGGACAUUGCCAGGUAGGGAGUUUGACUGGGGCGGUACAUCUCUCAAAUAAUAACGGAGGUGUCCCAAGGCCAGCUCAGUGCGGACAGAAACCACACAUAGAGCAAAAGGGCAAAUGCUGACUUGAUCUCGGUGUUCAGUACACACAGGGACAGCAAAAGCUCGGCCUAUCGAUCCUUUUGGUUUAAAGAGUUUUUAACAAGAGGUGUCAGAAAAGUUACCAUAGGGAUAACUGGCUUGUGGCGGCCAAGCGUUCAUAGCGACGUCGCUUUUUGAUCCUUCGAUGUCGGCUCUUCCUAUCAUUGUGAAGCAAAAUUCACCAAGCGUUGGAUUGUUCACCCAUGCAAGGGAACGUGAGCUGGGUUUAGACCGUCGUGAGACAGGUUAGUUUUACCCUACUAAUGACAAAACGUUGUUGCGACAGCAUUCCUGCGUAGUACGAGAGGAACCCGCAGGUACGGACCAAUGGCACAAUACUUGUUCGAGCGAACAGUGGUAUGACGCUACGUCCGUUGGAUUAUGCCUGAACGCCUCUAAGGUCGUAUCCGUGCUGGACUGCAAUGAUAAAUAAGGGGCAAUUUGCAUUGUAUGGCUUCUAAACCAUUUAAAGUUUAUAAUUUACUUUAUAAACGACAAUGGAUGUGAUGCCAAUGUAAUUUGUAACAUAGUAAAUUGGGAGGAUCUUCGAUCACCUGAUGCCGCGCUAGUUACAUAUAAAAGCAUUAUUUAAUACAAUGACAAAGCCUAGAAUCAAUUGUAAACGACUUUUGUAACAGGCAAGGUGUUGUAAGUGGUUGAGCAGCUGCCAUACUGCGAUCCACUGAAGCUUAUCCUUUGCUUGAUGAUUCGA